GACAGAGGGGGCAAGCGUUGCUCGGAAUUACUGGGCGUAAAGGGCGCGUAGGCGGGAUGGCAAGUCGGUCGUGAAAUCCCUCGGCUCAACUGAGGAUCGUCGAUCGAUACUGCCGUUCUUGAGGAUUGCAGAGGAGACUGGAAUUCCCGGUGUAGCGGUGAAAUGUGUAGAUAUCGGGAGGAACACCUGUGGCGAAAGCGGCGCACUGGACCAUAACUGACGCUGAGGCGCGAAAGCUAGGGGAGCAAACAGG
rnacentral:rRNA from 1 species